rnacentral:lncRNA from 1 species
UUUCCUAAUUUUAGGAGAGAAUUAAGCUAGAUUGAUUUUUUCUUAUUCAGUCAUUGGUGUAUAUAUAUGUGUAUGGUGUGUACCGAAUACUAUCAAUAAAGGAGUUCAGAAAUUCUUCAUGGUAUCAGAGCCAGUUUUCUGAAACCCUAAUCCCUUCCGGCCAAAUCUCUCUGGCCAUCUCUCAUUCCGACCAUCUCUCUCUCUGGCCAUCUCUCAUUCCGGUCAUCAGUCCCUAUUCUCAGAGUCAAGGGAGAAAACGCUUUCCGGUCGGUCUAAUCGUCGUCAGAAAACAUUCACCGCCGGCAACUUUUCCAGCGAACUUUCCGGCGACGGUUUUUUCUACACCGCAAGGAGCGCCUGGAGGAGAUCUCCAAUUUGUCCCAAAGCACCGGAACCAGAAACCCAUCCACGCGCCGUCCACGCGCGCUUUUUCCGGCCGGCGACUGCAUCUCACGCGCCGGCGCGUGAGGGCGCGUGAGCCACUUUCCGGCGAUGCGCUUCCUCCUCUAAGCUCGUCUGACGCCGACCAGCCACCCUUCUUACCUGUUUUGCCAUCCGAGCCCUGCACGUGCCUCUUUUGGGGUUCUCUUGCUUCCGUGGGCACUUCGAUCAGUUUUUCCGGCGUCCUCCGGCUAUUUUUUCUCAACUCCAAUCCCUGCACGUGCCUUGGGAAGUGUUCUUCUACCUUUCCGGUCCAUGACAAAAUACGGAAUGGCAUCAUCACAAGUAUCCAGCGUCACGUCACCAGAAUCAGGGGGCAGAUCUGAAAUUCCAAACCUUGGUGGCAAUGAUUCCUCUCCUAUUCUCAUCACAGGACACAAAUUAAAUGGCCAUAACUAUUUACAGUGGUCACAAUCUGUGUUGCUGUUCAUUUGCGGUAAAGGAAAGGAUAAGUACCUCACUGGAGAAGCAGCCAUGCCAGAAACUACAGAACCGGGUUUCAGGAAGUGGAAGAUUGAAAACAGCAUGAUCAUGUCAUGGCUUAUCAAUUCCAUGAACAAUGACAUAGGAGAAAAUUUCUUGCUGUUUGGGACUGCAAAGGACAUAUGGGAUGCAGCCAAAGAAACUUACUCAAGUUCUGAAAAUACUUCAGAACUUUUUCAGGUGGAAUCAGCCCUACAUGACUUCCGCCAAGGAGAGCAGUCAGUUACUCAGUAUUACAACACACUCACAAGGUAUUGGCAGCAACUUGACUUAUUCGAGACUCACUCAUGGAAAUGUUCGGAUGAUGCAGCAACAUACAGGCAAAUUGUGGAACACAAGAGACUGUUCAAGUUCUUCCUAGGACUAAACAGGGAAUUGGAUGAUGUUAGAGGCCGAAUCAUGGGCAUUAAACCCCUUCCAAGUCUCAGGGAGGUUUUUUCAGAGGUUAGGCGUGAAGAAAGUAGAAAGAAAGUGAUGAUGGGAUCCAAAGAGCAACCUGCCACAACAUUGGAUGGCUCUGCCCUUGCUGCUCGGUCAUUUAAUAGUAGUGGUGGAGAUCGUCAGAAACGAGAUAGGCCUUGGUGUGAUUAUUGUAAGAAACCAGGCCAUUAUAAGGAGGCUUGCUGGAAGCUUCAUGGCAAACCGGCUGAUUGGAAACCAAAGCCACGGUCUGACAGAGAUGGCAGAGCACACGUGGCUGCCAACUCUGAGAGCACAUCUGUUCCCGAGCCGAGUCCAUUCAACAAAGAGCAGAUGGAGAUGCUACAGAAACUAUUGAGCCAAGUUGGCAGUGGCAGUACUACCGGGAUAGCCCUCACUACUAGUCAAGGAGGAAUGAAGCCGUGGAUAGUGGACACAGGUGCUUCUGAUCACAUGACAGGAGAUGCUGCCAUCCUUCAAAAUUACAAGCCAAGUAAUGGUCAUUCAUCCGUCCAUAUUGCUGAUGGUUCAAAGUCAAAAAUUGCCGGGACAGGUUCUAUAAAACUUACUAAAGACUUAUAUCUUGACUCUGUCCUCCAUGUUCCAAACUUGGAUUGUAAUCUUUUGUCCAUUAGCAAAUUGGCUCGUGAUCUCCAAUGUGUUACUAAAUUCUAUCCAAACUCGUGUGUUUUUCAGGACUUGAAAUCGGGGAAGAUGAUUGGCAGUGCUGAACUGUGUUCCGGGCUCUACCUCCUCUCAUGUGGCCAAUUCUCAAACCAAGUCUCUCAAGCAAGUUGCGUACAGUCUCAGAGUAUGUUAGAGUCUUUCAAUUCUGUGUCAAAUUCUAAGGUCAAUAAAGAUAGUGAGAUUAUAAUGUUACACUAUCGCCUUGGUCAUCCUAGCUUUGUUUACCUUGCAAAAUUGUUUCCCAAAUUAUUUAUCAAUAAAAAUCCAGCAUCUUAUCACUGUGAAAUUUGUCAGUUUGCAAAGCAUACUCGAACAGUAUAUCCUCAAAUCCCAUACAAACCUUCGACUGUUUUCUCCCUAGUUCAUAGUGAUGUGUGGGGUCCCUCCCGGAUAAAAAAUAUUUCUGGCACUCGAUGGUUUGUGACAUUCGUUGAUGAUCAUACUCGGGUAACAUGGGUUUUCCUUAUGAAAGAAAAGUCAGAGGUCGGGCACAUUUUUCAAACCUUCAAUCUUAUGGUUCAAAACCAAUUCAAUUCCAAAAUUCAAGUCCUCAAGUCAGAUAAUGCAAAGGAAUACUUUACUAGUAGUCUCAGUACUUAUCUUCAAAAUCAUGGCAUUAUCCACAUAAGUUCUUGCGUUGACACCCCACAACAAAAUGGGGUGGCUGAACGCAAGAAUAGACAUCUCUUGGAGGUUGCCCGGUGCCUUAUGUUUUCCUCUAAUGUUCCAAACUAUUUCUGGGGGGAAGCUAUUCUCACAGCUACCUAUUUGAUUAACCGUAUGCCAUCCAGAGUGCUUACCUUUCAAUCCCCACGUCAACUUUUCUUAAAACAAUUUCCUCACACCCGUGUCGCCUCUUCUGAUUUACCACUCAAAGUAUUUGGUUGCACGGCAUUCGUUCAUGUGUAUCCUCAAAAUCGUAGCAAAUUUGCUCCUCGAGCAAAUAAGUGCAUUUUCCUAGGGUAUUCUCCAACCCAAAAAGGGUACAAAUGCUAUUCUCCAACCAACAAAAGAUUUUACACCACCAUGGACGUCUCUUUUUUUGAACAUGUCUUCUUCUAUCCCAAAUUUCAUGUUCAGGGGAAGAGCAUGAAUGAACAUCAAGUUUAGGAGUCUCAUCUUGAGGGUGUACCUUCUUUUCACUCAGAGUCACCAAAUCCUUCCCAAUUCGCGCCCACUGAGUUGUCCACACCCAUGCCGUCAUCAGUCCAGCCAGCCCAGCACACAAAUGUUCCUUCUCCCGUGACCAUCCAGUCUCCCAUGCCUAUUCAACCUACAACCUCACAACUUGCUAAUGAGAACUUACAAGUUUACAUCAGGAGGAGGAAAAGACAGGAAUUAGAGCACGGAUCACAGUCAACAUGUGGCCAAUAUAUUGACUCCAAUUCAAGUCUUCCUGAAGAGAACAUAGGUGAGGAUAGGGCUGGAGAGGUGUUAAUUCCCAGCAUUGAUGAUUCUACUCUGCCGAUUGCAUUGAGGAAGGGUGUUAGGAGAUGUACAGAUCAUCCAAUUGGAAAUUAUGUUACGUAUGAAGGGCUAUCACCAUCUUAUAGAGCAUUUGCUACUUCUCUUGAUGAUACUCAGGUUCCCAACACAAUACAAGAGGCAUUAAAAAUUUCAGAAUGGAAGAAGGCAGUACAAGAUGAGAUUGAUGCACUUGAGAAGAAUGGGACGUGGACUAUCACAGAUUUGCCGGUUGGGAAGAGGCCUGUGGGGUGCAAGUGGAUUUUCACCAUAAAAUACAAAGCAGAUGGAUCAGUCGAGAGAUUCAAGGCUCGUUUGGUAGCUAGAGGGUUUACACAAUCCUAUGGGAUAGACUAUCAGGAGACUUUUGCUCCUGUUGCAAAACUGAACACUAUCAGGAUUCUUCUCUCAUUGGCUGUCAAUCAAGAUUGGUGCUUGCAACAACUGGACAUAAAAAAUGCGUUUCUAAAUGGUGACCUAGAAGAGGAAGUCUACAUGGAAAUACCACCUGGUUUCGAAGAAAGUAUGGCAAAGAAUCAGGUUUGCAAACUCCAAAAAUCCUUGUACGGCCUUAAACAAUCUCCCCGAGCCUGGUUUGAUAGAUUCACAAAAGCAGUCCUGAAGCUGGGCUACAAACAAGGUCAGGCUGAUCAUACUCUAUUUGUCAAGAAGUCUCAUAUCGGGAAAAUGGCCAUAUUGAUAGUCUAUGUCGAUGAUAUUAUUCUAUCUGGGAAUGAUAUGGAGGAAUUACAGAAUUUGAAGAAGUAUUUGUCAGAAGAGUUUGAAGUUAAAGACCUUGGAAAUUUGAAAUAUUUCCUUGGUAUGGAAGUGGCUAGAUCAAGGAAGGGAAUUGUAGUCUCUCAAAGAAAAUACAUACUCGAUCUUCUUAAGGAGACCGGUAUGCUUGGAUGCAAACCAAUUGAUACUCCUAUGGAUAGUCAGAAGAAACUUGGUAUCGAGAAAGAAGGUACACCGGUAGACAGGGGGAGAUAUCAGCGGCUUGUCGGGCGCUUGAUUUAUCUCUCACAUACUCGGCCAGAUAUUGGCUUUGCAGUGAGUGCUGUAAGUCAAUUCAUGCACAGCCCCACUGAGGAACACAUGGAAGCAGUCUACAGGAUUCUUAGAUAUUUAAAAAUGACACCAGGGAAAGGUCUAUUCUUCAGAAAGACAGAGAACCGUGACACUGAAGUAUACUCAGAUGCGGAUUGGGCAGGAAACAUCAUUGACAGGCGGUCCACUUCUGGAUAUUGUUCUUUUGUCUGGGGAAAUCUUGUUACCUGGAGGAGUAAGAAGCAAUCAGUUGUAGCCAGAAGUAGUGCAGAAGCUGAGUACAGAGCUCUUGCACAGGGAAUCUGUGAAGGGAUUUGGAUAAAAAGGGUUCUUAGUGAACUGGGACAAACGAGUUCAUCUCCAAUUCUGAUGAUGUGUGAUAAUCAGGCAGCUAUAAGCAUAGCAAAGAACCCCGUGCAUCAUGACAGGACCAAGCAUGUUGAGAUUGACAGACACUUCAUCACAGAGAAGGUGACUAGUGAGACGGUUAAAUUGAACUAUGUUCCUACCAAGCACCAAACCGCGGACAUCCUCACCAAAGCUUUACCUAGGCCUAACUUCGAAGACUUAACUUGCAAGCUGGGAUUAUAUGAUAUAUAUUCUCCAGCUUGAGGGGGAGUGUUGAAAUAAUGCCAAAGUUAGGUUUUUUAAUUUAGGAAAGUAUUUUAGGAAUAAAAAAGGAGAGAUCAUUUAGGAUAUUUCCUUAUGAUUCAGUUUCCUAAUUUUAGGAGAGAAUUAAGCUAGAUUGAUUUUUUCUUAUUCAGUCAUUGGUGUAUAUAUAUGUGUAUGGUGUGUACCGAAUACUAUCAAUAAAGGAGUUCAGAAAUUCUUCAAAUACUAAGAUAAGCAAACAUAUAUAUAUCAAUAUCAUAAAUAUGCAGACACUGAUGGGGAAAAAGUGAAAUAUUUUGUGUGGGGGAAGUGGACCUAGUGGAAGCCUUAGCUUCAGAAUUUGGUUGGGAGAGUGAGUUGACUGCGGUGAAAUUAUCCCUGUAGGGAAACUGGAUCAAAUUGAAAACAGUGUCUGCUUUGAAAGACUCUGCUAUGCUUAUUUUGGUGCUUAUGAAAUGAACAAAAUAGAAGAAAUUAUCAUGGCUUAGAGUGGACACGAUUGCUAUUGAAAAAUGUUUUUAUGAAUUUUUUAUUUGACUGGUUAGGAAGAUCCCUUGGAAAUGGGAUGAAUAGUUUGUUAAUGCUUUGAGCUGUCUUUAAGAUGGAGGAUGCCUUUUUCUCUUUUAUUUUAUUUUUUGUGUUUUGAGUGAUCCAUGUAUACAUGUUGGGUGCCUUGGUUUGCCCCUUUUAAGUGCCUUCUAAUUUUAAUUUUGAUUUAACUAUAAAAAAUUACAAUUUUUCAGUGCAUUAAUUCAUAAAAACCACAAAAAUGUUCUAAACUUUUAACACUCUUUCUUAGUUCUAAUCAGUUUAACCAUUAAUGGAUGGCUUAAUAUAGAAAAUGAUAAAACCAGUCUCCAACUAAUCCAAAAGAAAUAAUUUAUGUAAAACUAAAACUGCAUAUUUGUGUGGAAUAUGGAUAUUGAAACCAUUGAGGGCUGUCAAACCUUGUAAGAUAUUUAUGCUGAAAGGAACUCAUCAUGUACAAAUACAAUUGCAUGCUCGUGUAGAUUUUGGAUAUUGAAACCAUAAAAAACUUUAGUCAUCUUUAAAUGUAUAAACAAGAAAGGAAAAGAACAAUUAAAUUUGGGUGGAAGAGUUUGCUUCAUGGAAAUCAUUGUACCAUGGGAGGGUAGUGAUCCCCUUUUUAGUAAAAAAAAAAAGAAAAAAAAAAGAAUUACUUAUAAUUAACUUAACAACAUCUAGGUAACAUAAGAAAUCAUUCCUAGGCAAAAUAUUGGUCUAGAUACUUUUUAUUUAUCUAUUUUUCUUUUUGUUAAGAACAAACACUUUAUUGCCAUGGAAUAAUUAAGUAAAUAGAAAAAUGUGAAAUCCUUGCUUUGAAAGAAGAUUGCAUCAAUUUGAUCAAUAGCUAGAACUUGGUUACAAUUAGAAGUCACAGUGACAUCCCAUCUACUAGAGUGUUACCCAUAAAUGCUCAAAAUAUUUUGUUCCUAGGAAAUCUCCAUAACCACUUCACUAAUAGGCUUUGAACCUCAAAGCAUAGUUGUUAAAAAUUUACGAUACACAAUAUGAUACAAC